AGUGAACGCUGGCGGCAUGCCUAACACAUGCAAGUCGAACGGUAACAGGCCCGCAAGGGUGCUGACGAGUGGCGGACGGGUGAGGAAUACAUCGGAAUUUGCCCAGUCGUGGGGGAUAACGUAGGGAAACUUACGCUAAUACCGCAUACGACCUAACGGUGAAAGCGGGGGAUCGCAAGACCUCGCGCGGAUGGAUAAGCCGAUGUCGGAUUAGCUAGUUGGCGGGGUAAAGGCCCACCAAGGCGACGAUCCGUAGCUGGUCUGAGAGGAUGAUCAGCCACACUGGGACUGAGACACGGCCCAGACUCCUACGGGAGGCAGCAGUGGGGAAUAUUGGACAAUGGGGGCAACCCUGAUCCAGCAAUGCCGCGUGUGUGAAGAAGGCCU
rnacentral:rRNA from 1 species